CAGUCAUCUUGCAUAGGAUGUCGGCAAUCUCAGAAACCUCUGGGAGUCUGCUUUUCAUGUAGCAAACAACCUAGUAAGAAAAACUAGCUUUGGAGCCAGCCCCGGCUGGAAAAAAUGAAGCUAAAUGAAACUCUCUCCACAAUAUUGGGCUAAAACCUUUUGAUGUUUCUUGCUGAGCCUACCUGGCUAAUGCCAUCAGUGAAAGACAAAUCAGAACAGAUGAAGAAUGUGACUUUCAGGGGAUGAAUGGAAGCGCCUCCUCUGGCUCAUGCUGGUGGGAGAAAAUGAACCAGCCCUGCUUUCUCUCCCUGGUUCAAUUCCCAGCAAAGGAAAAACAAUGUAAUUCAUGAUGAUGAUGACAAUGACAAUGACGACAACAACAAUAACCAACCUUUAACACAUCCUUAUAAUGUGCCAGACCCUGCGGAUCACUGUGAAAAGAACAUGAGAUGCCCUUUGCAGGGACAUGGAUGGAGCUGGAAGCCAUUAUCUUCAGCAAACUAACACAGGAACAGAAAACCAAAUACUGCAUGUUCUCACUUAUAAGUGGGAGCUGAACCAUGAGAACAUGGACACAGGGAGGGGAACAACGCACACUGGGGCCUGUGGAGGGCAGGCGGGGGGAGGGAGAGCAUCAGGAUAAAUAGCUAAUGCAUGCUGGGCUUAAUACCUAGGUGAUGGAUUGAUAGGUGCAGCAAACCACCAUGGCACACAUUUACCUAUGGAGCAAACCUGCACCUCCUGCACAUUUACCCCAGAACUUAAAAUAAAAUAAAAUUUAAAAAGGACACGAGAUAAUGUAAGAAAGUAGUUAGCCCAUAGAAAGCUGUUACUAUUCCAGUAUGUAUCCUACUACCCACGGUGCCGCUUAUAUAAGAGCGCCCUCCUGAGGCUGUCAGAAUAACUGGGGCGAGGCAGGGAAUGAGAGGGGACACCAGGCCUGAGGAGUGAGGAGAACAGACUAGAAUGGCUUCCUGACCGAAACUACACCCGCUCAACCCCAGGCCUGUGUAAUAGGCACUUCCACUUUAGUGUGAGGGUAAAUCCCAGAACACUGAAGAAACACAGCCCAGAGCUGGCAUCCUUUUGGCCAUUUCCUGAAGUGGAGCUGGAUUUCAGAGGGCUGUCUCAAAUGACAGUGUCAGCACUAGGAGCUGAUGGUUAAAGCUCUGCAAGAAAACAGCAUCCAGCAUUUUCUUUUGCUACUCUCAUGGGCCAACAUGAAAGUGCGUAAUGAUGGACACAGGCUUUGCUUAAGUGGUGAGUCUAUCAUCCAACCUUUGACUAUAAUUAUGUUGCUCAGAUUAGAGCUAAGUAAACACUGGAUUUGUUUUUUUUUUUUUUUUACUACGAGCAAAUGAAUUUUAUUUCUUACUCAGCAUAGUUGUCCCAGUUUGUUUAUUCAACAAACGUUUAAGCGUGUUCUCCAUGCGUGGUGCUUGUGGCACUGGGCAUUCAGUAGAAAGCUAGAGGCCAGGCGUGGUGGCUCACGCCUAUAAUCCCAGCACUUUGGGAGGCCGAGGCAGGUGGAUCGAUCACCUGAAGUCGGAGUUCAAGACCAGCCUGGCCGAUAUCGUAAAACCCCGUCUCUACUAAAAAUACAAAAAUUAGCUGGGCAUGGUGGCACAUGCUUGCAAUCCCAGCUACUUGAGAGGCUGAGGCAGGAGAAUCGCUUGAACCUGGGAGGCCCAGGUUGCAGUGAGCUGAGAUCGCGCCAUUGCACUCCAGCCUGGGAAACAAGAGCAAGACUGUCUCAAAACAAAACAAACAAAACAAAACAAAACAAAACAAUAAAAAAGAAAGCUAAACCCACAGAGUUCCUGCCUUCUAGUGGAGGAGAUGAGCAAUUAAACAAGAGAAAACAAGUGCGGUGAGGGUGAUGUGCAGGCUGGCGGAGCAGCAACAACAGCACAGAAUCCUGACUACGGUUUGAACUAAACCUAAAGGGCCCCGACUCUGCCUUGAUCUCUCCAGAAAGCCUCCCAGGGCCCUGACUUCCCUGUGCAUGUCAGGUGACCACGGUGGUGGGCAGCUUCCCACCUCAGCCUCUUCCCUCAGUGAGAUCUGGGAAACCUCCUCCCUCCUUUGCCUCUGAAUUCUCACAAAGAGGACCAAGGGUUUUGAGGCAUAGUUUUUAGGAAGAAAACAGGGAACAAGGAGAAUAAUAAUAAAGAAGAAAAAAAGUACAAGAAGUAAAAGGUAUCUUGCCUUACUGGGCCUUGGUUAGGUGCUGAACAUUGUGCUAAGAAUCUUUCGAUGUAUAUUACAAUGUGUUGUUCAUUUCUCUGAGGUUGAUAUUGUUGAUAUGUCCAUUUUUCCCGAUAAGGAAACUGAGGGUAAAGAGGAGAAAGAAAUAGGUCAUAAACUUCACCAAAGGCAGAGCUAUUAUUUGAACCCAAGAAAAUGUGAAAGUUAAUUGAUCAUUUCUUAAGGGCAAUUUUAUUUUGUUUUUUGCAGGGGCAGUAGAGGGAGACGUUGUUGUUCCCAGAAAGGGGCCUUUAGGGAGAAUAAAGAAAGGAAUCCUUGAUAGGGGUGCUAAAUCCUCCAGUACCUGGUAGUGCUGGCCACAGGAGGAGCUCAAUAACUAUUGAAUAAGGCAGUGAGGGAGGGCAUGAGGAAGGGAGUGAGGGGAUGAGUGUGGCCCCUCCCAGCCUACCAGGACCUGUAUGGCUUUUCUCUCAUGAAUCCCAGUCACGAGCCAGCUGCCUGCAUCCUCUUUUCUUCCAUCUUGCAGCUGCCAGGCGUUUAGGGUAGCUUGGUGGUUGGUUUCCACCACUCUCCUCAGUCCUUGAAAUCCUCAUUCUUACAACACUCGCUGUACCUGGGACUUGGUCUCCAUGGCUUUUCCAGAUGUUACUGCCCUGGAAGUCAAUCCCACAGGACCAUUUUAUUUUAAGGGUCAGAGGGCUAUAGUAGUUCAAGACCCCGGUGGAUGCCUGAAACCAUGGAUAAUACUGAACCCUAUUUAAUUGUGCUUAUAUGGGUAUUGAUGAUAUAAUAUUGCAAAAUUACUGCAGACAUUAUAAUUACAUAAAAAAAAUAGUAAGUUGAAGAAUAAUUCCAUGACAGUAAAUCAGUCUAAAAUAAAUUAAAAUAGAAAACUCCAAAUUAAUGGCAGCAAGUAUAUUUAAAAAAUAAGAAUAUGAGUAAAAAGACAAGACCUGACAAAGGAGAGUUUCAACACUACAGUUUAUGUAUAUAUUAUACUAAGUUUUGAUUUUUUGUUCGUUUGUUUUUGAGACAGGGUCUUGCUAUGUUGCCCAGGCUGGAGUGCAGUAGCUAUUCACAGGCAUGAUGGUAGCUGAUUGCAGCCUCAAACUCCUAGGCUCAAGGGAUCCUCCAGCCUCAGCCUCCUGAGUAGCUGGGACCAGGGCAGCAUACUCUUUUUGAUCUGAUAACUGAGACGGCUACUAAGUGACUAACGGAUUGGUAGCGUAUACAUUGUGGAUACACUGGAUAAAAGGAUUAUUCACAUCCGAGGGUGGAGUGGGAGGGUGCAAGAUUUCAUCAUGCUACUCAGAAUGGUGCUUAAUUUAAAACUUACAAAUUAUUUAUUUUUUAGAACUUUCCAUUUAAUAUUUUUGGACCUCAGUUCACCGAGGGUAACUGAAACUUCAAAAAGUGAAACUGCAGAUAACAGGGAACUACUGUAUGACAAACAGUAAAUAUGAGGAAGUUGUAGAGGUUAUGAAACCUUCCCAACCACUCCACGAAUGACCUACUUUUAGCUCUGGCUAUCAUAUAGUCUCCCCAGAGUCAGACGACAGUCUUGCCACUUGCCACCUGGGUAGUGGUGAUCUUUAGCAGGUUACUUAAUCUCCCUAACCAUGUCUGUAAAAUGGUCCCCAUCUCCUCAGGUUGGAGUGAGCAUUAAAGAUGGUUCUGUAUUUGAAAUCUCUUAGUACAAAGAAAAUGCUAAAUAAAUGUUGUCAAGGACUGAAUUUUAUCCCCCCAAAAUUCAUGUUGAAGCCUUAACCUCCAAUGUGACUAUAUUUGGCGAUAGCGCCUUUAGAAAGUAAUUAAGGUCAAAUGAGGUAAAAAAGGGUGGAGCCCUAAUGCAGUAGGAUUUCUGUCCUUAGGAAAAAGGGGGCCCGGCGAGGUGGCUCACACCUGUAAUCCCAGCACUUUGGGAUGCCAAGGCAAGCAGAUGGCUUGAGCUCAUGAGUUUGAGGCCAGUUGGGCAACAUAGUGAAACCCCAUCUCUAUAAAAAAAUACAAAAAUUAGCCUGGCAUGGUGGUGUGCACCUGUAGUCCAGCUACUUGGGAGGCUGAGGUGGGUGGAUGGCUUGAGCCUGGGGGUGGCGGAGAUUGCAGUGAGCCAAGAUGUGCCUCUGCACUGCAGCCUGGGCAACAGAGCCAGACCUUGUCUAAAAAAAAAAAAAAAAAAAAAAGAAGAAGAAAGAAAAGAAAAGAAAAAUGGAAGAGACACCAGAGGUGCACAUGCACAGAGGGGAAAGGCCAUGUGGGGACACAGACAGAGAGUGACUGUCUGCAAGAGACCUCAGGAAAAACCAACCCUGCCAACACGUUGAUCCUGGACUUCCAGUCUCCAGAACAGUGAGAAAAUAUAUUUCUGUUGUUUAUGCCACCCAGUCUGUGAUAUUUCGUUAUGGCGACCUGAGCAGACUAAUACACAUGUUCAGUCUACUUCCUUUGCUUUCCUUGUUGUUUGAACACAUUUGCCAGGCAGUGUCAGAGCCCCUGUAUUGGGAAGUGGUCAGUGUGUGGGUUGGUAAGAAGAAUUUACCAAAAACAGUAUAGAUUUGAAAAAGGAAAGUUUUAGAAAGAAAGAAUGCUGCAAAAGGGUGCAGCGGGGCACCUCAGUGAGAGAGGACUGAGCACACAGUGGUGGAUUUUCCUUAGGAGCAUUUAUGGACCUUAAGGCGGGAGCUUAAGGGUAAUUUUGACCAUAUUAGCCAGGUAGGUCAUGAUACAUGAUUACAUCUGUAGACAUUUUGGUGCCUUACUGUCAGCAAGGGUUGCACAAUGAGUUUUGACAUGCAUGCAUUCUGGAGGUGUAUAGAAAUUCUAGUUAUGACAUUUUUGAAAGAGAUCUAGAUGCUGACUUUAGAUACUAGGGAAGUUUAAUUACUUCUAAAUUCCUCAGAUAAGGAGUUUUUGUCUCUGGAGACUGCUCGAUGGUCACCAGGUGAUUUUCCUCUCCUCAUUUGCUCCCUGACAAAUAUCUUGGUCAUAUCUUUGACCCUUUAUAUUUAUAUUCCCCCAUGUUCAUGUCUACCUGCUGCCUCCUGGGGUCUCAAGAAAGGGAAAAUGGUCCAGUGAAGAGGGGUGAUGAGUCUGUCUGGCUACUUCCUCCUGAAAGGGGGCUUUGAGGGGAUAAGUUGCGUUUUUCUCUUUUUUGCUCUGUGUCAUAAAGGAAAUGAAGGGUCAUGAAAAACUCAGUCACGAGGGGUGGGGACUGGAUUCUAUCAAGAGGCCCCGUAUAAAUGGAAGUUGCUGUUGCAGGCCAGUAUUGAGACUGCAUAGUCAUCUGUAGGUGGAAUCGUUGUAUUCUGGAAGAUACAAACUUAAUGAGAGCAUUAAAAAUGCAGGGAGCAAAUAUUAAAAGAAAAAUGACAAGGAAAAAAGGUCCAAGGAAUGGGAGAAGCCCAGUCUUGGUUACUUUGGGAAAGUGUGUAUAACCAUUUGGCUUGUUUGAAAAUUUACUGGGACAUUAGUUUCCACUUCUCCAGACAACAGAUUUUGUUGAUGACAGCACAGACUCCUCCUUGUUCAGGUGGAGGUAAUCAAGAACUCAUCUAUUAUCAAAAACCAUUUCUGCUAGUGAGUAUAAAGACUUUUCUAGUGCUGAUAGACUUGUGCCAGUUUUUUCUAAGAUUA
rnacentral:lncRNA from 1 species